CCUACGUGCGGCUGCAGUGAGGAAUAUUGGUCAAUGGCCGGAAGGCUGAACCAGCCAUGCCGCGUGAAGGUCAGUGCCCUAUGGGCGUUAAACUUCUUUUGUGCGGGAGCAAUAAUGGUCACGUGUGGCCAGACGAGAGUACCGUACGAAUAAGCAUCGGCUAACUCCGUGCCAGCAACCGCGGUAAUACGGGGGAUGCAAGCGUUAUCCGGAUUUAUUGGGUUUAAAGGGUGCGUAGGCUGUGAGGUAAGUCAGCGGUGAAAUGCCCCCGUUCAACGGGGUGAAGUGCCAUUGAUACUGCCUUGCUGGAAUGCGGAUGCAGUGGGAGGAAUGUGUGGUGUAGCGGUGAAAUGCAUAGAUAUCACACAGAACACCGAUUGCGAAGGCAUCUCACGAAUCCGCGAUUGACGCUGAUGCACGAAAGCGUGGGUAUCAAACAGGAUUAGAGACCCGAGUAGUC
rnacentral:rRNA from 1 species